AGAAGAGCACAUGCGACCGCGCCGAAAGGCGCUUCAUCGAUGUAAUGCGCGUCACGUAGUCACAUCUUACGAACAUGAGUGCGCUAAACUGAAGAAACUUUUAAUAGGAUAAUAAAUAUGUUUUCAUUUUCAUAUUGAUUAGUUAAAAUAAGUACUUUUUUAGUAGUUUAUUCGAGUCUUUUGUUAUAUUACAUAUUAAAGGCCUUCACACAAUCAUCAACAUAAGAUAUAAUACGUAAACCGUCAAGAAAUCCACCAAUCAGAAUUGACUAUUUCCCUCUACAUUUUCCGACGCAAGACAUAAACCGUAACGUUGAAAAAUUUCGUGAAGAUGUUUGCAGUGGCAUCGACAUAAGACGUAAACCGUAAACCGUAGUACGUAAACGGUAUCGCAUACGAUUGUCAUAAGUUAUAAACUUCGACCAAUUACAGUUAUCGUCGAAGAAAUUGCGCGAAAAUAUAAUUCUUAAGUGUGCUGCCUGUUACUAUUUUCAUUUUUGUAUUGUGUUUAUGUUUUAUUAAAGUAUAAAACAUAAUGCUCUUGAUAAUUUCAAUCUCAAUUUAUGAAUACACAACAUUAUAGUCCGUUUAUUAUUCAUAUUCAUAAAAUUUCAAAUGUAGAGUUUAAUUGCGGGAAAGAAUGUGAUUGGUUGAACAUAAGACGUAAAUUGUAAAAACUUCAUCCUUACGAAAUACCUCUACAAUUUAUAUCUUGUCUUGAAAAAUAUAAAGAGGAAUAAUUGACUCUGAUUGGUGAAUUUCCUCACGGCUUACAUUUUACAUUGGUACGUGUGUGAAAGGCCUUAAGGUCCUUAACAGCAAAUUCCAUCGAAGAAGCGCUGGAUAAUAUAGAAAAAAAUAAAUAAAAUAAAAGAUGUGUGGAUAUUACACAUGAAUAAAGAAUGCUGUUAAUAAAAUACAUUAAUAAAUAUUCAAUUACAACAAUUAUUAAAUGGAAUACGAUUUCGAUGAACGAAGAUUCAUUUUAAAGAUAAAGGCAUAAAUUUUAAAAUCGGAGUUAUUGCAUCAUAAAGUCAAUAAAAUUGGUCUUUUGAUUGACUUUGAUAGUUCAAUAUUUCAAUGUACUCACAUGGCUGUUUCCUUCGGGAUACACGAAUGUUGUAGGAGAAAUCAGGAUUGGCAGGGGUAGACUAGGCGAGGCCACUGUCUCGGCUCCGGUGUGCGUUAUCCGGGCGACCCUGGAGAGGGGCAGGAAAAACGUGGUUUGGACAUCAGUGAGGGUGCAUGGAUUCAGGCAACGGGCCCUCAGAUGCCACCGGUGCCUGGCGCGAAGAUAUGUUGCUGCAAUGUGCCCUGAUACACCUAGGACUGACCUAUGCUAUGUAUGUGGGAAGCCGGGCCACCUGGCCAAGACAUGCACGGAUAAACCAGCGUGUCCGGUUUGUGUAGACGCGGGCCGGAAGCCGACCAACCACCGUGCCGGUUCUUGGUAGUGCCCGGUAGUGCCUCCUAAGAAAUGGAUAAAUGGGCUUUUCGGGAGGACACCAAAUGCUUGCCCUGAAACAAUCCGAAAAGACCCGUAUAAGGUUGCUGAAAAAACUGCAGUGAGGACAGUGAGAGUGACCGAGAAGAGGGGAGUGUAUGAAGACAUGGAGGUGGAACAAGGUGUAUCGGGCACCUUAAUAGGUGUAGAAGCAGCAGAAGGCCCAUAGACAAUGACCUCUGCUGUUUUACAGAUAAACAUGAACCAUGCACGCCGUGCGCAGGACUUGCUGGCAUUGCACAUGCGCGAGGACAGGGUAGAGAUUGCGGUCAUUUCGGAGCCGUGGCGGGGAAGGACUUCACUCUUUGCGGUGCUUGUGGGCGAAAGUGGAAGACCCUGUAGCUUGGUGCGUCGGGGCCUUUUUUACGUAGUUGUUAAAUGGGGGGACUUGCUGGUAGUUUCAGUCUACUUUCCUCCCAGCGAGACCAUUAACAUGUUUUGCAGACUCCUUGAUGAGCUCGAAGAGCUCUUAGGAACAUUCCCCGCUCUCCCGGCGCUGGUGGCUGGCGUCUUUAAUGUCUGAUUCAGUAGAUGGGACCCGGAAGGCAGGAGUAACCGUAGGGAUAAAAACAACCACUACAACAACCACAACAAUUAAAAAACUCUAAACUAGAAUUACCGUUAGUCCAUGGGUCUCCAGAUGCAGCAAUCUCCACGUGGUGUGACCUGGGUCAGUAUUAUUUGGAAUAUAUCGAAAUCUAUAUCUAGAUUAUAUAAUGCAAGUACUACCGGAUAGCUGUAUAUUCAAGAGUCACAAAGUUGACACAUAUAAAACUUUAUUAUCAUUUUAGCCACAUCGAGAUCUAUGAAAUAUAUUUUAUACAUAUAUAAAAUAAAAUGUUUGGUAUACACUGUUUGAUAUUUUUAUCGUAAAUGAGCAUCGGUAGUGCGCGCGAACAUUAUGUUAUUGGCGCACUUUGUAACAUACCAUAGCAAAUGAAAGUGACGAAUGCAUUAUCUAAAAAAAUAAAAAAGCAUAAGAUAUUUUCAUAAUUUAUAAAAAAUAAUUUUUCUUACCUUCGUAAACAUUUCGUGUGACGCUACAAUAAUUCCACUCAUGGAAAAAGUUGAUGGUUUCAGACUCGCAACCAUAAGCAAGAGCAACAUCUUUCGCGUUUUUAUAGAUAAUGCAUCAAAUGGAAUUUCACAACUUGGCAGAAUGUUUAUAUAUAUUUAAUGAUAUGGAAAAGGAAAUGCGUACGAGUUGUGAAUUUUUAAAAGACUUACCAUUUCGUUAAUAAACCGGUGCUAUUGUUUAUCAACUUUUGUCCGAGAUAGCAAUAAAUGUAUAUUAUAAGUAAAUUCGCAGAAAUGUAAAUGGAACGUUUCAAUGUAUUGUGUAUGUUUUUUGUCAAAGGUAAGAACUCGAAUAACUACAAAAUAAAUGUUUCAAUUUCUAAAUCAUAAUAGAAAAAAAUAACGUAAUAUUUUUUGUUAGUAUGCCUAGAUUAUUUCAGGCUUACUUACUAAUAUUACUUACAUAAAGAUAAUCUAUGAUAAUGAAUCCCAUUGCAAGCAAUAUUUCGAUGAAAUAUAUUCUAAUAUACAUCAACUUUAAUAAGGCGACGAAACUUCAAGAGCGAAAGAACACGUAUUAUAAGAUUAAAAAUUUACAUUUAAUAAUAAUAUAAAUUUGUUAUCGUAGAAAAUACAAACUUGAUGGCAUUACAAUGCCAUUUUAUGGCAUCUACAAUCCAAUCAUAUUCUUUUUCACAAGUAUUAAGAGGAUAAAUAUACAAAAAACUAUACUGACUUUUUUGAAAUGGUCUCUCUAGCUUUAUACUGUAACGAUUGAUUAAAUAAAAUAUUUAUUGGUGAA